GAUGAACGCUGGCGGCGUGCCUAAUACAUGCAAGUCGAGCGAACAGACGAGGAGCUUGCUCCUCUGACGUUAGCGGCGGACGGGUGAGUAACACGUGGAUAACCUACCUAUAAGACUGGGAUAACUUCGGGAAACCGGAGCUAAUACCGGAUAAUAUAUUGAACCGCAUGGUUCAAUAGUGAAAGACGGUUUUGCUGUCACUUAUAGAUGGAUCCGCGCCGCAUUAGCUAGUUGGUAAGGUAACGGCUUACCAAGGCAACGAUGCGUAGUCGACCUGAGAGGGUGAUCGGCCACACUGGAACUGAGACACGGUCCAGACUCCUACGGGAGGCAGCAGUAGGGAAUCUUCCGCAAUGGGCGAAAGCCUGACGGAGCAACGCCGCGUGAAUGAUGAAGGUCUUCGGAUCGUAAAACUCUGUUAUUAGGGAAGAACAAAUGUGUAAGUAACUAUGCACGUCUUGACGGUACCUAAUCAGAAAGCCACGGCUAACUACGUG
rnacentral:rRNA from 1 species